rnacentral:lncRNA from 1 species
AGAGUCAUUUUGCAUAAUGAAAUACCUAAAUCAUUUUAAUAAACAUUUUGGGGGGGAGUGCAAAUGACACAGUUGGAGAGGGAAUCAUUUACCCUAUUCAGAAAGGCAAUGUGGAAAUAGUGAUGCUAAUUUUUUUUUUCUUUUAAAUUACCAUUCUGGCCAAUUUGUUGUAAAUUCUGAGAAGAAAAGCUACAGCUUAUGUUGUUGGUAGCAAAUUCCUCCUCCAGAAGGCUAAUGCAAAUGUAAGCCAUCUGCCACGCAUUCUGCUGAGGAGGCUGGAGUCACAAACAAUGGGCCAACAGUCUCUGAAUGCUAACACACACACUCUGCAGGCAAGAGAAGUCUGCAUUUUGCCCCAAAGGUAUACAGUACGUCAGGUCGCCUCCUUUCCCGUCCUCCGCAAGACCACCAGACACCCACUGCUCUCUCAGUCAGCUGGCACCAGGAGAGCGGCCGCAGAUUAGUAAGACGGUGCUUUCACAAGAAGAACCCCUGGAGAAGCAUUUCUGUUGAAACUGACUGAAGCAGGCAUGCAAGACCUGUUAAAUUAUUUAAACCAGACAAAUGCUUCACAGUGUGUGUUUUUUAACUUAAUCCUAUUUUAGCAAAAACUGGCUUUGACUAUUGCAGUACGCACCAGAAUGUUGCAUAGGUUUUUUGUGUUUUGUUUUUUUUUUUUUUUUCCUUUUAUGACUGGACCCUUUCAGAAGGCUCAGGAACACUGUCCUCGGCUCAUCUGAGGCCUUGUCUCAGCAGCAGAUGGAUGUAUUCAACAGAAUGCACUGGGCAGGUGGGCGCUGCGGACGACCCUCUUGUCUGAAACCUGGGCGCUCACAGACAUUCAAGUCAUUCUACCUGCUCUGUUCAAGGAAACUUGAACGCUCAGUUAUUUGGCAAGUGGGCCUAAAUGGCUCGUUCAGUGUGAUAAAACACUGACCUAUUAUUCAGUGUUUGGCGAUGGGGCAGGAGAAGAGGCAACCCCCAGCGAAAAGCCAUCAGCAGAACUCCAGCUUCACUUUGCUCCAUUUGCCACCUGCUGGGUUUCCUCCUGUGUCUCCGGCUCUGAUUGCCGUGUGCCUCCAGGCCUCUCGCUCUGAGCCUCCCACACUGCCAGGGUGCACAUUAUCUCCGCCCGUGAACAGCUGCUGUCACUGCCUGGAGUGCCGCCCCCACGGCCCUUCCGCUCCGCGUCGUCUAGGGAUACAGCCCUGGCAUGCUGAGACGCUGAACUAUUUUCUCAUGUACGAUAGACUGAAUGGUGUCCCCUCAAAAUUCAUAUGUGAAAGUCUUAACACUCAGAAGUACACUGCUUAGAAAUAAAACUUUCAG